rnacentral:rRNA from 1 species
GUGGGGAAUCUUGCGCAAUGGGCGAAAGCCUGACGCAGCCAUGCCGCGUGAAUGAUGAAGGUCUUAGGAUUGUAAAAUUCUUUCACCGGGGACGAUAAUGACGGUACCCGGAGAAGAAGCCCCGGCUAACUUCGUGCCAGCAGCCGCGGUAAUACGAAGGGGGCUAGCGUUGCUCGGAAUUACUGGGCGUAAAGGGCGCGUAGGCGGACAGCUUAGUCAGAGGUGAAAGCCCAGGGCUCAACCUUGGAAUUGCCUUUGAUACUGGCUGUCUUGAGUUUGGGAGAGGUGAGUGGAACUCCGAGUGUAGAGGUGAAAUUCGUAGAUAUUCGGAAGAACACCAGUGGCGAAGGCGACUCACUGGCCCAAUACUGACGCUGAGGCGCGAAAGCGUGGGGAGCAAACAGGAUUAGAUACCCGAGUAGUCC